UACGUAGGGGGCGAGCGUUGUCCGGAAUCACUGGGCGUAAAGCGCGCGUAGGCGGGCGCUCACAUCCGCUGUGAAAGCCCCCGGCUCAACUGGGGGAGGUCGGCGGAGAUGGGGUGUCUGGAGGCGGGCAGAGGCAGGCGGAAGUCCCGAAGUAGUGGUGAAAUGCGUAGAGAUCGGGAGGAACACCAGAGGCGAAGGCGGCCUGCUGGGCCGGGCCUGACGCUGAGGCGCGAAAGCUAGGGGAGCGAACGGA
rnacentral:rRNA from 1 species